rnacentral:lncRNA from 1 species
UGAGGGGGACCAGAUCCAUCUAUUCCAAAAGAAGAGUCUUUAAGUUACUGUAGUAUUGUUAGUUCAUGAGGGAGGAAAGCCCGCAUUUCUUUUUUAUACCCAUUGCAUACAGAUUAUUGUUAUACUUUCUAGAUAUUUAUUUUCAAAUAGUCUCUUUUGUGUGUUUGUGUAAAAGCUUAAAGCAACUAGGUCUAGGUAUAUAAACGAGAAUCGAAAAACAAACCAAACCAGAAC